AACGAACGCUGGCGGCAUGCCUAACACAUGCAAGUCGAACGAGACCUUCGGGUCUAGUGGCGCACGGGUGCGUAACGCGUGGGAACCUGCCCUUAGGUUCGGAAUCACUCCCCGAAAGGGGUGCUAAUACCGGCUAAUGUCUUCGGCCCAAAGAUUUAUUGCCUUUGGAUGGGCCCGCGUUGGAUUAGCUAGUUGGUAGGGUAAAAGCCUACCAAGGCGACGAUCCAUAGCUGGUCUGAGAGGAUGAGCAGCCACACUGGGACUGAGACACGGCCCAGACUCCUACGGGAGGCAGCAGUGGGGAAUACUGGACAAUGGGCGAAAGCAUGAACCAGCAAGGCCGCGUGAGUGAUGAAGGCCUUAGGGUUGUAAAGCUCUUUUACCCGGGAUGAUAAUGACAGUACCGGGAGAAUAAGCUCCGGCUAACUCCGUG
rnacentral:rRNA from 1 species